rnacentral:rRNA from 1 species
CUGGUCUUGACAUCCCAGGAAUCCUGCAGAGAUGCGGGAGUGCCUUCGGGAACCUGGAGACAGGUGCUGCAUGGCCGUCGUCAGCUCGUGUCGUGAGAUGUUGGGUUAAGUCCCGCAACGAGCGCAACCCUUGCCCUUAGUUGCCAUCAUUUAGUUGGGAACUCUAAGGGGACCGCCGGUGACAAACCGGAGGAAGGUGGGGAUGACGUCAAGUCAUCAUGGCCCUUAUGACCAGGGCUACACACGUGCUACAAUGGUCGGUACAGAGGGUCGCCAACCCGCGAGGGGGAGCCAAUCCCUUAAAGCCGAUCGUAGUCCGGAUCGCAGUCUGCAACUCGACUGCGUGAAGUCGGAAUCGCUAGUAAUCGCGAAUCAGCCAUGUCGCGGUGAAUACGUUCCC